GGAGUUUAGCUCAGUGGUAGAGCGCUUGCCUAGCAAGCACAAGGCCCUGGGUUCGGUCCCCAGCUCCA
rfam:Rattus norvegicus chromosome 13, whole genome shotgun sequence.